AUAUUUGGCCGGUGGAUGGAGAGUGUGUUAUGCCUAUGUAUGGAAAGGAGAAUCAUGAUUAGUGAGGUUGUGGAAUAAGAAGCCAAGAGUGAGGAGGGUGAAGAAGAGAAGCCGAGAGUUAGGAUUGUGGGGUUUGCCCACAAAGACCCUUUGUUUCCUACUAACCAAGAUGCUAGCACUUUGCCUAGCAUCCUUUCUUCUUAUGUGCAGGUUAAAGAACAUUUAAGUCCAAGUAGCAAGCUUGAUGACCUCAUGGAACCCUUGGUUGAGCAUCCUAACCUUAGGAGAAACAUUGAAAAGAUGAUUCAAAGAGGAGAGUUUGCGGGUGAUGAUUGCUUGAAUAUGUGGACAAAUUUCUCUCAAGAUGGAGAGGAUAAUACAAGUGCGAUCAAGUAGAUGAAAUUAUGAGGAUGUGUAUUGAAUUCGUCUAUGUGUGUGUGCAAGAGAAGUGGAAUUAAGGGCUUAAAACAUAUCAAAACAACCACUAAUACACACUAGAGGGGCACCUAAUCUCUAAAGGGCAUUUUGGACUUUUUGCCUUCUAUUUGUAAUAUACUAUAUAAGAAACAUUUUAGGGUUACUUUACUUAGUUUUUUUUUGGAUAAUGAAUAUUGUAUAACACACUUGAAAAACACAAGUUCUCUCUUCCAUAGAGACUUGGCUGAAACUAAGAAACAACUUAGGUGUGGAAUCACUUUUGUUGUUUGUUUGCUUGGAUCGUUGGGUGAUAGAUGGAUUGAGUCCUCUCUUGCGUCCACCGCAUAGUGUAGGUGUUUCUACUAUCUUUAUCAAGGGUCUUUGUGCUUAAUACACUUAGGUUCUUGGUCUUUGUAGUAGUGUAUGCCACACUCUCUAUCUUUUCCUUUGUUGUAAUCUUGUAGCCGUGUGGUGUAUUGUUUCUCUUGUAACCCAUGUGUAGUUCUUCAUCUUGAUAUUGUUAACAUAGUUUGUUGUGGGCUGUUUUUAGGUGUUAAACACCACAAUACAUUGUGUUUUUGUUGAAUCCGAGAGUGGUCAUCAAAAGGGUCCAUGGUUCUUUCAACUUGUGGACUGAUUUUGGUGUUGUUUGUGUGUUCCUUGUAGAUCUUGUAUCAGUACCAGUGAUAAAACCAAGUUUAUUUUUGGCUAACAUUGCUAUAAGCACUGAUCUCUUCCAUCCUUGAUAACCUUUUCCAUCAAAUGGAGUGUUAACCAAGGCCAUUCCAGGUGAAUCUGAAGAGUAAAGAUAAUAAAUAUGAGUGGGAUCCAUAGCUGCUGGAGUUCUGGUGGUAGAACCAGAAGAAGAUACUGAAGAAGUAGUGACUUCAUCUUCCAUUGUAGAGAUAGGUUAGAUGAAGGAGAUUGAUAAUCGAGAAGAUGAUUUGUAUGCAAGAUCUGAUACCGUGUAAGAAAAAAAACUAGAGACAGUAUUUGGGAAUUUUCUUCUCUGUAUAUUCUUUGUCAAUCACAUUUUUUUAUACAAGGUAAUGAAAAGAACCUUCUAUUCUAAGCUAAACAAGAGCCUUCUAUUCUAAGUUAAACAAGUGCCUUCUAUUCUAAGCUAAUGAAAGAACCUUCUAUUGUUG
rnacentral:lncRNA from 1 species